AUUGCAUAAUGAAUUAGAAGUAGAUUACCAGAGUCAUCCCAUGAGCAAGCUUGAUUAGAGCUUGAUCAUGGCGAAGUACAACCGAAGGAAGUACCGACAGGCCGGCCUCUCCUCUAAUCCUCCUUCGCUCUCCAUCUCGCUACUAUCUAGAUCUACUCUAGUUUAGAGAAGAGAGGAGAGCUCUCAUCUCUAAACCCUAGCUUUUGCUCUGUCUAUGAAUAAUGAAUAAUGAUCAAGGGGUGCCCCCUCCAGGGGCCAAGGGGUCUGGUUUUAUAGUCCCCUCAAGUGAACCUGGGCCGUCGGAUCAAACCGACAUUGAUUGAACGGUUAUUCUUGAUCCUUUAGGUCGGUGGAGCAUAAUCCGCGAGAUUGAGCGUGAUUGGCCGAAAAAGGUGGGCGGGCGCCCUAAGGACUUGGGCGGGCGCCCUGUCCCUGACUCCGUUCGGUCUCCGCUUCCUUCCCGUGGCUUCUGGAGUCUUCUAGAUGUAAGAUAAUUGCGCGGCACGUUGAUAUCUCUAUGUAAUCCCGACGUGUGGGCCCUUCUUCCUUAUUUCCUGAUAACCCCCUGUAGAAAUAGACAAACACCAAAACUCGUGGAAUACUGUUAGAUAAAACCCUAAGUCUCGAUGUUGAUUUCAUUUGGAUCCUUUUCUUUGUUUAUUUGAUAGUUAAAUUUGAUACUUAAGGACCGUCAACAAACUCCCCCAAGCUUACCUCUUGCUCGUCCCUGAGGAUAAACUCAGCUAUGGAUCAUAAGUUGUUGCAAUAUCUUUAAAAAUUGACGGUACACAUGCUUUUAAAUGAGGUCUCAUCUCUGAGUUAGAGUAAACUGUCAAGACUUAAAACUUACUUACUUUACCUUUCACCAUGGGACUUGUAACCGUCACUUCUGUCUUGAGUGGUUAAAAGAUAGAACAGUCCAGUCAAGUGCCAUGUCGCUUAUUCUUGAUCAGCUAUAGCUCUGGAGUUUUUUGCAGAUUUUCAAAUAAAACUCAGAGAUUCCUUUGUAUGACUCUCUCAUAUCUCUCUUUUGUGGUAUUUCUGGAUCUUUACCAAGGCAGUGAUGGUAUAUGCCUUCUCUCAAAAUAUGUGGUAUUUGUGGUAUAAGGGAUAGUGACAUUGUCUUCUCUCUCACCCUACUCUAAUAAGGCUUUAAUAUCUGGAGCUCAUAGGUGGGAGAUAAAAUAUACAUACUUACAAGACAUUUAUUGUAUAGUCAAACCAUGGAUCCAAAGAAACAAAUCAAUAAGCCAAAUCAAGAUGUGCAUGUGUGGCGAAUGAAUUGUGUAUAGUGAUGAUGGUGAUAACAAUGGUGAAAGUCUAAUUAUACUUUUGCUCUUAUGAGGGGAUACAUACCUUCCUUGCUUUUUUGAAACUUUAUGAGGAGAAUGAGAUGGUCUUAUUUUUCUUUUCUCUCAGAUGGGUAUCCUGUACCCCUCAUUCUACUGUCGGACACUUGUCCAUUUUUACCUCUCGUCUCACUCUUUUUCUUUUCUUUCGAGGUUCUGGGCACUUGCCCCUUUUUAUUUCCUCGUUUAUUUAUCUUUUUUUUCUUUUUUUUCAGAGCACUCAUCUCUUGAGAUAAUAUAGCAAGUGGUAGUAGCAAGAUAACUUGAGCAUUUAUUUCACAAGGAAAAAACACAAAUAUUUUUGGCUAUUCUCUCCUGGAUUAGGAGUAGAAUAUUUUUGGGUGGUUCUGGAGAUGGACAUGGAUGGAUAUAUGUGGAUGGUACUUCCAGAGUAGAAGUAGCAUAUAUGAGUGAAUGUGCAAGUGAAUCUUGAUUUAACCACAUGACAAGCUCCUAAGGGUCUACACAGCUUGACCACACUCAAUGCUCAUAAGCAGUAAAUAAUAAAUGUGUGGCUCAAAGUCUAGCAAGCAUGUAUAUAUGGCUGUGGUAGGAAUUUAAACUUUCAUCAUACAGGAACUCAUCAUGCAACAUUUUAAAGAUUUUUCAAAGAUAAAAUUCUCCAGAAUUCUAGCAUCUCUAGGAAUAGAUAAACAGCAGCUCAACCUUCCCAUAUCAUAUCCGUUAACAACUUAGAUUUCAGAUCAAGUUUUCAUCCCACAAGUUUAGAUCUAGAGCAAGCUUUAAAUUAUAACAGUUAUGUCUAAACUUGAGAGAGAACUUUAAAUUUGCAAAUUAGGCAGAGCAACUAUUCAUCAUAUCCAUGCUAGAGUUUUAUUAUUAAGAUUCAGAUUAGCAUAGCCACUUUAUUUAUUUAUUAAACACACUAAGCAAAAGAUAUAUAUAUAAGCACAAAAUCUUUAUUUGGUUUUUCAUAGUUUAUGUAUUUUAAUAUUCUAAUAUAAUAUAAGUAUAAAGAUAGGUAGAAAUACUUAGCGAGAUAAAUAGGGGUGCUCUCCCCCAAGCUGAAUUUUGACGUAAUUUCUCUUGAUGUAGCUAGCAGGUGGCAAAGGUGUAUUUGAAAGUCAGCAGCAUUCUGACAGCGAUUAGAAUGUCCUCCGUCUGCUAGUCUUCUUGAUUCUUAAAUUCUGUGGAGCUCAAAUAGACAACAAAGCUUGUGGAACUAAUUAAGUGUUAGCAUAAAUAUCUAGCCUUCAUCACGUUGAGCUUCCUCAAUAAAUAUUACUCCCUGUUUUUAUAUUUUUAUUUUAUAAAGUAGAAAAGAAAUAUUUAUUUUAUUUUUAUGCCACCACAGUGAAGGUACUUAUGGGUUUUAUGCCACUCGUAUACUCACAUGGGGCUUAGUAUUUUUUUUAACAUUUUUAUUUUCUUUUCAAGAUAGCAUGAUUAACUAAUAAUCUAUUUAAGGAAAGUAAAUAAUUAAAUGGAAAAGGGAAUGCAGAAAGGAUAAAUAUGGAUAACUACCAAUCUUACCUUUCGGCGAGAGUUCAGUGUUUUAAGUCUUCUUGUCAAGACUUCUCAUCGUGUUCAUUCUUCAGGUGCGUCAUUUGAUUCAGGUGCGGACCUUGAUGUCUGCACCUUUUAAUACGGUGUCACCCAUGUUCUUCGUUUGCCCAGCAGUUCGAAGUACGGUGUUAGCAGUAUCUUGCUCAGUGUGUUUGUGCUCGUAGUCUACCUACUCAUAGAGACAAGGCAGAGAUCAAGUGCAUGGGCCCUGUUGGUGGAAAACACCAACAAAACCAAAAGUGUAUUUGUUCUUCUCUAACCUUAAGCAUAGUGAGCAAGACAAGUUGAUGGAUGAUAAGUUCAUGAGUGUAGCACUUAUAACAUUUGUUAGAUCAGAUCGCUCAACCUUAUGGAAAGAUAAUCUAUCUAUGUAUAUGUCUUUUUCUUUAUAUCUCUCAAUGAUUGAAUGUGUAACAUUUUAGCUCAUAUGAUUAGGAGUGUGGGAUCAUGGAGGUAGUACUAAGAACAAGGAUUAAAGGACUAAACAUGAUGAAUCAGUUGGGUUGGUUAAUCUAGAGUUGUAAAUCAUACACGUUUGUCUCUUUUAUUUAUAUGAACGCCAGAACCAAGGAGAAGCUUCUAAAAGUGAUAGUCAAGUACCUUAAGAUGUUACCUUGCUCGAAGAGUGAUGGUACAGUAUCAUCUUGUGGAAGCUUUCCUUUCUUAGCGGUUGUGCGUCGUGUUUGUGGCACCCUCCAUGGAUCAUCUCUCUAUGAUGAAUGAGCUAUGUCCUUCUUGUGCAAAUUGUUAAACUUCAUGUGUCACUCUCUUCGUCUCUGAUGUGAGUUUAUCUCAGGACUUCCCAAAUCGAUAUUGAAAGUUUUUCUGCAUGGGUUAGUCCGACAAAAUAUACCAAUAUCUACUCAAGCAGUUUUUUUAGUUCAAUAACCAAACUAGACUCCAUGUCUAAUCAGAUUAAGGAAGGCUAUUUAACCUAAGCACCAUGCUUAAUUUAAAUGCCAAUGGAAGUAUGGCGAGUACUUCCAAACCAACACUUGCUAGUAAAUAGACAAAGGUAGCAUGACAGCGUCUAUAGAGAUCUACUCAAGUGGAGAUGAAGUAGUGUGAUUAGUAUUUAACAAAUUGAGCAUGUCUCAAAGGUAGGGACAACC
rnacentral:lncRNA from 1 species